rnacentral:antisense_RNA from 1 species
GGAAGGGAGGAAGCGUAGAAGGUGCCGAUGCACUUUUCCUCUCUCCAGCCCUCCUGACUGCUCCAAGAAUUUCAUCGAACAAGACUCAAAGAGGCCCAGCUGCUCUGCGUUUUGAUUCUUCUCCCUCUCUCAGUCCACACUGACCUGGGAGGGGCUUCUCAAACACCACAUUUCCUAGCAUGCUGUGAGAAGAGGACUGUGAGCUAAGAAGGGAGAAAAGGCACUCCCUCCUCAUCAACAAACACCUGACCUGGGUAGACCCUCUGCUUACCAAGAUCCAGUCCACCUUUUGACAUCAGCAUUCAUGCUGCCUCUUUUUACGAACCAAGCCAAAGUGGUCCCUUCCUCUGGAAAUUAUAGGAUACUUAAUGUACAUCAUAUCCAGGUAUGAUACUAGAACUUUAAGCCUGGUAAGUUAGUUACAUUUUAUAAAAGCAUCUUAUCCUAAGAUUAUAAAUUGAUGACAAGCAAGAACUGAUAGUACCCAGCAUGUGUGAAAUCCGUAAGUUUGAUCAACUGAUGAAUGGAUUACAUGACAAUAAUCUGUCCAUCAUGGAUAGAAAAAGAACACUACUAUUCUCAUAUCUGCUGUACCCAUAUUCAUCUUCAUAAAAAAUGUUUCAAGUUUUACAAUGGAGAAAUAAAGGUGUUUCCAUCCACUUCCCUCUAAAAUUACCCCCAAACAGGAUAAAAAAACAAAAGCACAAACUCCAUCUUCCAUGAAACAA